rnacentral:rRNA from 1 species
CACGUAGGGGGGCGAGCGUUUGUCCGGAUUUAUUGGGCGUAAAGAGCUCGUAGGCGGCUCAGUAAGUCAGGUGUGAAAACUCCAGGCUCAACCUGGAGACGCCACUUGAUACUGCUGUGGCUAGAGUCCGGUAGGGGAGCAUGGAAUUCCUGGUGUAGCGGUGAAAUGCGCAGAUAUCAGGAGGAACACCAGUGGCGGAAGGCGGUGCUCUGGGCCGGUACUGACGCUGAGGCGCGAAA